rnacentral:rRNA from 1 species
AGCGGCGGACGGGUGAGUAACGCGUGGGUAACCUGCCUCGUACAGGGGGAUAACAGUUGGAUACGGCUGCUAAUACCGCAUAAGCGCACAGUACCGCAUGGUACCGUGUGAAAAACUCCGGUGGUAUGAGAUGGACCCGCGUCUGAUUAGCUAGUUGGUGGGGUAACGGCCUACCAAGGCGACGAUCAGUAGCCGACCUGAGAGGGUGACCGGCCACAUUGGGACUGAGACACGGCCCAA